UUCUGAAGAUGUUACCAAAUGUUUGUUUCCUAGGGGGUGAGGCAGUAGUUUGGGUAGAGCACUCAAGAAAAGAGGCUAUGGUGUGCGGGGAAGAGAGGGGCGCAGGCCUCAACUGGUGGCAGUGCGAGGCUCUGGGGAGAGUGCAUUCGGUGCCCUCUCCUUGCCCGCCCGGGCAGCAGCCAGGUUGGGCUCGGCUUUGUGUCCACAGCUCUUAGGGUUAGAGAAUGACGGCUCCAAGCUCCCCCUGCCUCACCCCCUCUCCCUCAAGCCUUUCUUGCCUCUGUCAUCCAUGAGGUGCCCUCACAGCAACUGAGGCUAUAGCUGUUUUGAGAUGGCCAACUCAAGUCGUGUUGAACUGUGCAGAAAUAGCUGUCCGGGAGAAGCACCUUGACAGACGAAACACCUGAACAUGACCAGAGGCGUUCUCCCUACUUACCUAGAGGCCUUGCUAUUGGGUGGCUGUUCUGCAUGAAAUUUCCCAAAUUGACUUGAGUGCAGCAACUUUCCCCACUCUUCCUGGCAGUCUCUUUAAGCCACUGCAUCACAUAUUUCUCUGGCGCCUUUAACAGCCUUCUGUGAGCUGAAUCAGUUCUACUUCUUUUUGGAGAUGGGGGUAAAAAUUGUCUUUCAUGGUAAGCACUAAACACAUUUAUGAACCAUCUUUUAAAUACAUAAAUAUAAGAUAACAAGGUUAUUUACGGUGUCUCUGGCUCUCUAGUAUUAGGUAAUAGUAUUAGAAAGUAUAGGUGCUCUGCAGGCAGCUUGGAGUGGUGGGUUCCCAGUGGGGGGAUAAGCAGCCCCGUUAACCCUCUUGCUGGAUGUCUGUGACCUCACUGACAAACCUCAUCUUGAACUGAAGGAAAAAACCCUAGAAUUUAAGCCUCUUUAUGAAUGUGAGGUGGGGCCCAAAGAUGAGGGGCAGAGAGCUGAGCCGCUGUGGAUGGCCUCUUUUCAUGUUAUCUGGACAGUGUCCACUGGGUGGCCCACAUGGCCACAAUCCCUGAACCCACAGCAGGCAUGCCAUCCCCUCUUCCCCACAGCUCCCACUUCACAAUCUGCUGUUUGCCCAGGAAGGCCAGUCAAGGGGCAGAGGGAUAGGGAAGAGGAAUGAGCCCAGCCAGGUGCAGGAGAGAACAAGGAUGAUCAAGAAGAGCGAACUCUGGGGAGCAGAGUUACAAACAUAGCUUUCCAGGUCCUGGGACCCACAUCACUCCAGCCUCCCUUGGUCUCAAGCCCUCCCCUAGCGUGCUGCCUCCAGCCUGUAGAUCCCCACCUGGCUCUGACAGGGCCCAGCCCCAGUUACUGCAGAGUAUCUCUGACUUGAGUGGCUCCAGCCUAGUGUCUGUGCCCUGGGUACUGUGGGCUGCCAGCCUCUGUGAGCACCUGCAGUGGCUUUGGCACUGUAGGCACAGAGCCGCAGUUCUGAUGCUUGGCUGUGACUGCCUCUGGGCUGAAGGCUGGAAGCUGUGGCUCUGCCCUGACGGAAUGUGGUGGCAAGACCAUGUCCAGUGACUCAGGGUACUUAGGUAAAGAGGCUGCAAAAAGCUGAGGGCUGCUGAGGGGAGAAGUGUUGGGACCCUCUUCUCAAGGUUUCCCACACUUUUUGUUUUGGUGGUAAAGAAGGAGGGAUGAUUCACCUUCAGGCUCUUGCCAACGAGGGAGUGUGGCACCAGUGUGAGGGCCGGAACAGUGUCCAUUUGGCCCACCAUUGCUACACCUCAGGGAUCAAUCUUAAGGAGUCCCAUAAGACCCCCACAAAGAGUGUCUGGACAAUGCAGUCCACGGCCAGCAGGCAGGGUGGAGCCACGGCUGGGGAGGGCGGAGUGUUCCAGAAAAAUGCCCCACACUCCCAUGGAUUCGGCCUUAGGUGGGGCCUAGAUCUCUGUUACCUCCCAAAGUGUUUGGUGUUUCCCUCCUGAGCUCAGCACAAAGUCAGUGUCAUCUCCCUGUCCCCCCAUUGAGGGUGAGCACAUGAAGCUGAUGCCAUGAGACCUCUGGCACCUGUGCCUUUCCACCUGGUGGGCUACUGGACUGCUGGGGUUCACGGAGUGGCCUCUCCAACACUGCAGCAUGUGUGCACUGGGUCUGAGGCCCGUUCGAGUGCUUUUAAUGAUUCUGGGUCACUAUUAGAAGGCUUUUGGCUUUUGAAACAAUUUCCAAAGUUGAGGGGUUUUUUUCUUUCUUAAACAACAUUUAAUUUUGACC
rnacentral:lncRNA from 1 species